UCCAGGUAGCAUGGCAUGGUACUGGAACACUAUGUCUUCUCUCUGACCUCUCGGAAUAUCUCUGUGAUUCGAUGUGUUGGCCCAUUGGAGGCCCUGGAUAAGAAAACUGAGGCUGAAGAUCACACAACCAGUAAAUGGAACAGCCAGAAAUCAAAUGUUAUAUAUUGGCCCUGAAGUGGGGAUAAAGCAGCUAAAAGAAAGUGUACUUUACAUUAAAUUUUAAGAUUUAUGAGACUGGCAGAAAAAUCACAAAAAGGAAAAAAAGUCAGUUCGAAGUGUGAAAUCAAGUGAAUGAAGUAAGACAGAAGCAAUAAUCUCUACAACAAAAGAUGAGAACUUGCCUCCUCUAAAUCCCAUACACGCAUGGCUAUUUGUUCCCAGCUUAUGUGGAUCAUGGCUAAUUUACAAACAGUGGGUGAUGUGCUAUAAAGAAAAUGACUCAUUGGCCCAUCUGUAAUUUAAAUAUGUGACAAAAUGUUUAAAUGUUUCAAACAAUGGUUAAUUAUUAGAGACUUAACAGUUUGAAAACAAGUGUGGAGCUUUUUUUUUUUUUUUCUUUUUUUUUUUCUGUUUUUUUUGGCUUCAUU